rnacentral:misc_RNA from 1 species
GAUGAAGAACGCAGCGAAAUGCGAUACGUAAUGUGAAUUGCAGAAUUCAGUGAAUCAUCGAAUCUUUGAACGCACAUUGCGCCCGCCAGCACUCUGGCGGGCAUGCCUGUUCGAGCGUCAUUUCAACCAUCAAGCCCCAGGCUUGCGUUGGAGCCCUGCGGCUGCCACAGCCUCCUAAAAGCAGUGGCGGGCUCGCUAUCACACCGAGUGCAGUAGAUUACUCUUCGCUCAGGGCGUGCAGCGGGUUCCGGCCGUGAAACCCCCUACUUUUAAAGGUUGACCUCGGAUCAGGUAGGAAUACCCGCUGAACUUAAGCAUAUCAAUAAGCGGAGGA